GACGAACGCUGGCGGCGUGCUUAACACAUGCAAGUCGAACGGAAAGGCCCUGCUUGCAGGGUGCUCGAGUGGCGAACGGGUGAGUAACACGUGGGUGAUCUGCCCCUUACUUUGGGAUAAGCCUGGGCAACUGGGUCUCAUACUGGAUAGGACCAUGCUGUAGGUGGUGUGGUGGAAAGAUUAGUUUCGGUAAGGGAUGAGCUCGCGGCCUAUCAGCUUGUUGGUGGGGUAAUGGCCUACCAAGGCGUCGACGGGUAGCCGGCCUGAGAGGGUGGACGGCCACAUUGGUACUCAGACACGGCCCAGACUCCUACGGGAGGCAGCAGUGGUGAAUAUUGCACAAUGGGCGCAAGCCUGAUGCAGCGACGCCGCGUGGGGGAUGACGGCCUUCGGGUUGUAAACUCCUUUCAGCCAUGACGAAGCCCUUGUGGUGACGGUAGUGGUAGAAGAAUCACCGGCUAACUACGUG
rnacentral:rRNA from 1 species